rnacentral:rRNA from 1 species
AGUAGUUUGAUCAGUGGCUACAGAACGAACGCUGGCGGCAUGCCUAACACAUGCAAGUCGAACGAAGCCUUCGGGCUUAGUGGCGCACGGGUGCGUAACACGUGGGAAUCUGCCCUUUGGUUCGGAAUAACAGUUAGAAAUGACUGCUAAUACCGGAUAAUGACGUAAGUCCAAAGAUUUAUCGCCGAAGGAUGAGCCCGCGUAGGAUUAGGUAGUUGGUGGGGUAAUGGCCCACCAAGCCGACGAUCCUUAGCUGGUCUGAGGGGAUGAUCAGCCACACUGGGACUGAGACACGGCCCAGACUCCUACGGGAGGCAGCAGUGGGGAAUAUUGGACAAUGGGCGAAAGCCUGAUCCAGCAAUGCCGCGUGAGUGAUGAAGGCCUUAGGGUUGUAAAGCUCUUUUACCAGGGAUGAUAAUGACAGUACCUGGAGAAUAAGCUCCGGCUAACUCCGUG